UACGGAGGGGGCUAGCGUUGUUCGGAAUUACUGGGCGUAAAGCGCGCGUAGGCGGCUUUGUAAGUUAGAGGUGAAAGCCCGGAGCUCAACUCCGGAACUGCCUUUAAGACUGCAUCGCUAGAAUUGUGGAGAGGUGAGUGGAAUUCCGAGUGUAGAGGUGAAAUUCGUAGAUAUUCAGAAGAACACCAGUGGCGAAGGCGACUCACUGGACACAUAUUGACGCUGAGGUGCGAAAGCGUGGGGAGCAAACAGG
rnacentral:rRNA from 1 species